GUCUGGGAAACUGCCUGAUGGAGGGGGAUAACUACUGGAAACGGUAGCUAAUACCGCAUAACGUCUCAAGACCAAAGAGGGGGACCUUCGGGCCUCUUGCCAUCAGAUGUGCCCAGAUGGGAUUAGCUAGUAGGUGGGGUAAUGGCUCACCUAGGCGACGAUCCCUAGCUGGUCUGAGAGGAUGACCAGCCACACUGGAACUGAGACACGGUCCAGACUCCUACGGGAGGCAGCAGUGGGGAAUAUUGCACAAUGGGCGCAAGCCUGAUGCAGCCAUGCCGCGUGUAUGAAGAAGGCCUUCGGGUUGUAAAGUACUUUCAGCGAGGAGGAAGGCAUUGUGGUUAAUAACCACAGUGAUUGACGUUACUCGCAGAAGAAACACCGGCUAACUCCGUGCCAGCAGCCGCGGUAAUACGGAGGGUGCAAGCGUUAAUCGGAAUUACUGGGCGUAAAGCGCACGCACGCGGUCUGUCAAGUCUGAUGUGAAAUCCCCGGGCUCACCUGGGAACUGCAUUCUAAACUGGCAGGCUAGAGUCUUGUGAGGGGGGUAGAAUUCCACGUGUAUCGCUGAAAUGCGU
rnacentral:rRNA from 1 species